UCUUGUGACGGCGUACCUUUUGUAUAAUGGGUCAGCGACUUAAUCUGGCAAGCAAGCUUAAACCGUUAGGUGUAUGCGCAGCGAAAGCGAGUCUGAAAUGGGCGAUUGAGUUUGUCGGAUUAGACCCGAAACCGGGUGAUCUAGCCAUGGGCAGGUUGAAGGUUGAGUAACAUCAACUGGAGGACCGAACCCACUAAUGUUGAAAAAUUAGGGGAUGACCUGUGGCUAGGAGUGAAAGGCUAAUCAAGCUCGGAGAUAGCU
rnacentral:rRNA from 14 species